UUACUGAGUUUACGCUCUAUAACCCUUUGUGAACAUACCUAUAACUGUUGCUUCGGCGGGUAGGGUCUCCGCGACCCUCCCGGCCUCCCGCCCCCGGGCGGGUCGGCGCCCGCCGGAGGAUAACCAAACUCUGAUUUAACGACGUUUCUUCUGAGUGGUACAAGCAAAUAAUCAAAACUUUUAACAACGGAUCUCUUGGUUCUGGCAUCGAUGAAGAACGCAGCGAAAUGCGAUAAGUAAUGUGAAUUGCAGAAUUCAGUGAAUCAUCGAAUCUUUGAACGCACAUUGCGCCCGCCAGCAUUCUGGCGGGCAUGCCUGUUCGAGCGUCAUUUCAACCCUCAAGCUCUGCUUGGUGUUGGGGCCCUACAGCUGAUGUAGGCCCUCAAAGGUAGUGGCGGACCCUCCCGGAGCCUCCUUUGCGUAGUAACUUUACGUCUCGCACUGGGAUCCGGAGGGACUCUUGCCGUAAAACCCCCAAUUUUCCAAAGGUUGACCUCGGAUCAGGUAGGAAUACCCGCUGAACUUAAGCAUAUCAAUAAGCGGAGGAAAAGAAACCAACAGGGAUUGCCUCAGUAACGGCGAGUGAAGCGGCAACAGCUCAAAUUUGAAAUCUGGCCCUAGGCCCGAGUUGUAAUUUGCAGAGGAUGCUUUUGGUGCGGUGCCUUCCAAGUUCCCUAGAACGGGACGCCAGAGAGGGUGAGAGCCCCGUACAGUUGGACACCAAGCCUUUGUAAAGCUCCUUCGACGAGUCGAGUAGUUUGGGAAUGCUGCUCAAAAUGGGAGGUAUAUUUCUUCUAAAGCUAAAUACCGGCCAGAGACCGAUAGCGCACAAGUAGAGUGAUCGAAAGAUGAAAAGCACUUUGAAAAGAGGGUUAAACAGCACGUGAAAUUGUUAAAAGGGAAGCGCUUGUGACCAGACUUGCGUCCGGUGAAUCACCCAGCUCUCGCGGCUGGGGCACUUCGCCGGCUCAGGCCAGCAUCAGCUCGCUGUCGGGGACAAAAGCUUCAGGAACGUAGCUCUCUUCGGGGAGUGUUAUAGCCUGUUGCAUAAUACCCUUCGGCGGGCUGAGGUACGC
rnacentral:misc_RNA from 1 species